rnacentral:lncRNA from 1 species
AAAGAAAUGGAGCUAGAUAAUAAGUGUAUUUUGAAUAACUAAUUUUUUAUUUGUGUCUCUUAAAAUUAGUUUGAAAAUGAAAAACUGAGUUUGAAAUUGGAAGAUGAGAUAUGUGAAAAUAAAGAUCUUCUGCAAGAAAACAGUGCAACAAGACAUUUAUGUAAUCUGCUCAAGGAAACCUGUGCUCGAUCCACAGAGAAGUCCAACAAAUAUGAACAUGAAAGAGAAGAAACCAGACAUCUAUAUAUGGCACUUAAUAAUAAUAUCGAGAGAAUGAUAUUGGCUUUUGAAGAACUUCGUGGGCAAGCCGAGAACUCCAGAUUGGAAAUGUGUUUUAAAUGUGAGAAUUCUGCCUAACGUUUACAAAACUCAUAAUGUACUUU